rnacentral:rRNA from 1 species
CACGUAGGGUGCGAGCGUUGCCCGGAUUAUUGGGCGUAAAGGCGCGCUGAGAGCGGUCACGCACGUCCGUUGUGAAAUCUCCGGGCUUAACUCGGAAAGGUCAACUGAUACUGUGCGACUAGAGUGCAGAAGGGGCAACUGGAAUUCUCGGUGUAGCGGUGAAAUGCGUAGAUAUCGAGAGGAACACCUGCGGCGAAGGCGGGUUGCUGGGCUGACACUGACGCUGAUGCGCGAAAGCCAGGGGAGCGAACGGG